GGGCCACAGCUCAGUGGCAGAGCACAUGCCUGGCAUGCAGAAGGUCACAGGUUCAAUCCCUGCCAUGCCCA